rnacentral:rRNA from 1 species
UUAAUAUUUAUUUAUUAAUUUUAUUUUUUUUUAAUUUAUUAUAUUAAAAAUAAUUAUAAAUUGAAUUGUUUUAGUAUUUUUUAAAUAACAAAUAAUUUUAAUUAUAGUGUAAUAGUAUUGUGAAAGAAAAUUGAAAUAAUUUGAAAAAUUUUUAUUUUAAAAGAAAAUUUAAUUUAUUGUACCUUGUGUAUCAGGGUUUAUUAAAUAAAAAUUAAUUAUAUUAAUUUUCUCGAUUUUAAAAGAGUUAAUAUAUUAUAAAAGUUAAUGUAAUAAAAUUAUUUUUAAUAAUAUAUUGGAAAUGAAAUGUUAUUCGGUUUUAAAGGUAUCUAGUUCUUUAAGAAAUAAAUUUAAUUUAGAAAUUUUAUAUUAUUAAUUUAGUUGAAUUAAAUUAAUAAUUAUUUAAUUUUAAUAUUUUAUGGGAUAAGCUAUAAAAUAAAUUUUCAAAAAUAAAUAAAUAAAUUUAUAAAUAUAAGCUUAGAAAUAGCUAUUAUUAAUAAUUUUGUUUUAAUUUAUUUAGUUAAUAAAAUUAUUUAUUAAAUUUUGAAUAUUUAUUAAAGUAUUUAUUUUAAUUUAAAAAAUAAAAUAAUAAUGAUAAAAUUAGUAUAUUAAAAUGUAUAAAUAAUAAUUUAUGAUAAGUUUUUAUAAAGAACUCGGCAAAUUUAAUAUUCGCCUGUUUAACAAAAACAUGUCUUUUUGAAUUUAAUUUAAAGUCUAACCUGCCCACUGAAUUAUUUUUAAAUGGCCGCAGUAUACUAACUGUGCAAAGGUAGCAUAAUCAUUAGUCUUUUAAUUGAAGGCUGGUAUGAAUGGUUGGACGAAAUAUUAACUGUUUCAUAAAUAUUUAUAAUAGAAUUUUAUUUUUUAGUCAAAAAGCUAAAAUAUUUUUAAAAGACGAGAAGACCCUAUAAAUCUUUAUAUUUAUAUUAUUACAAUUUUUUAGAAUUAUUUUAUUUUAAUAAUUAAUAAUAUUUUAUUGGGGUGAUAUUAAAAUUUAAUAAACUUUUAAUUAAAUAUUUCAUUAAUUAAUGAUUAAUUGAUCCGUUAUUAACGAUUAAAAAUUUAAGUUACUUUAGGGAUAACAGCGUAAUUUUUUUGGAGAGUUCAUAUCGAUAAAAAAGAUUGCGACCUCGAUGUUGGAUUAAGAUAUAAUUUUAGGUGUAGCCGCUUAAAUUUUAAGUCUGUUCGACUUUUAAAUUCUUACAUGAUCUGAGUUCAGACCGGCGUAAGCCAGGUUGGUUUCUAUCUUUAAAAAAUUAAAAUAUUAUAGUACGAAAGGACCUAAUAUUUAAUAAAUUAUUAUUUUUAUAUUGAAUAUUAAUAAUAUAA